GUUUAAGCGCAAAGGAGUGCACUCUAGGCAAAUCCGGAGUGAUUAUCUGAAGCGUGAUGACGAGUCUCUUUUGAGACGAAGUGGUUGAUACCAUGCUUCCAAGAAAAGUCCCUAAGCUUCAGGCAAAAGGAAUCCGUACCCCAAACCGACAUAGGUGGGCGAGGAGAGUAUCCUAAGGCGUUUGAGAGAACUCGGGAGAAGGAACUCGGCAAAUUUGAACCGUAACUUCGGGAUAAGGUUCGCCUACGCAAGUAGGCCGCAGUGAAGAGGGGGUUGCGACUGUUUAUCAAAAACACAGCACUCUGCAAACACGAAAGUGGACGUAUAGGGUGUGAUGCCUGCCCGGUGCCGGAAGGUUAAUUGAUGGGGUUAGCGUAAGCGAAGCUCUUGAUCGAAGCCCCAGUAAACGGCGGCCGUAACAAUAACGGUCCUAAGGUAGCGAAAUUCCUUGUCGGGUAAGUUCCGACCUGCACGAAUGGCG
rnacentral:rRNA from 1 species